UCUUUAUUCUUAACGUUUAUAGCCUUAUAUUCAAUCAUUAGUUCAUUAAAUGCAUCAUACAGUUCAUCAAAGUAAAAUCAAGAUGUGUUUCGGAUGUUACCUCAUUUUCAUUGGCCAUGAAGCAGAAAUUGGCCUUUUCUUCUUGUUCUUCAUCCGAUGAUGACGAUGAUGCGUCGGAGUCCGAUAAGGUGGUGACAAGGGCUUUCUUCUUCUUGUACUUGCUGCUCUUCUUUAGUAAGGGACACUCAGCUCUGAUGUGUCCCGGCCUUUUGCACUCAUAGCAACCAAUCCCCUCAUUUUUCCUUUCCUUACCUUUAUCCUUGCGAUAGAAAUUUGAGGGGCCUCUCCUUUGAUGAUAGGACUUCUUGUGGUUGAUGAAUUUUUUGAAUUUGCGCACAAGAAGAGCCUCAUCAUCAUCUCCCUCAUGAUCCUCUUCUUCACUGCUGCUACUGCAAGAUAAGUCCUUGUUAGAUGAUGUAGAUUUAAGAGCUAUUACCUUUUUCUUAUGGGUGGACUCUUCUUCGCUGU
rnacentral:lncRNA from 1 species